rnacentral:rRNA from 1 species
GAUGAACGCUGGCGGCGUGCCUAAUACAUGCAAGUCGAGCGAACAGAUAAGGAGCUUGCUCCUUUGACGUUAGCGGCGGACGGGUGAGUUACACGUGGAUAACCUACCUAUAAGACUGGGAUAACUUCGGGAAACCGGAGCUAAUACCGGAUAACAUAUUGAACCGCAUGGUUCAAUAGUGAAAGGCGGCUUUGCUGUCACUUAUAGUUGGAUCCGCGCCGUAUUAGCUAGUUGGUAAGGUAACGGCUUACCAAGGCAACGAUACGUAGCCGACCUGAGAGGGUGAUCGGCCACACUGGAACUGAGACACGGUCCAGACUCCUACGGGAGGCAGCAGUAGGGAAUCUUCCGCAAUGGGCGAAAGCCUGACGGAGCAACGCCGCGUGAGUGAUGAAGGUCUUCGGAUCGUAAAACUCUGUUAUCAGGGAAGAACAAAUGUGUAAUUAACUGUGCACAUCUUGACGGUACCUGAUCAGAAAGCCACGGCUAACUACGUG